GAAGGGACCCGCGAGCAUUCACCCAACUGUAAAUAGCAAACGAGAGAAGGCUUUAUGAAUUUCUUGACGAGGCACAUGGUGAUCAAUUUUUCAGAACUAUUCCCACCCGCCUAACCAUUUUAGUGAAAAAUAAAAUCUAAGAAUAAGUCAGCCUACAUAACUAUCUAUCUCAUCAACAACAUCAAUUAGGCCUUAAUCCCAAACUUCAUAAACUAUCUAUAUAUAUAUACAAAGUUCAUAAACAUAUUCAUCCUCAAACAAAUUAUGCUCUAAUCCGCCAAGAUGAUUACGCAAUUGAUUCGCAUGGAAAACCCAAACUGUCCUCCAAAAACCACCUUAGCACUACAUGCAACUCAUCUCAUAC
rnacentral:misc_RNA from 1 species